AAUAGUUUCAGGUCAGGGUCAAUUGUGGUGGAUUCUACGUUGAUAUUCAACAACAUCAGCUCAGUGCCUAACGAUAGCCUGGUAGCACAAACCUUAAAACUGCCAUUACUUCCAACACGUCUGGCCUGACCUUACCUAUCAAUUCAUCCUCCAUUGUGGUCACAUGCGCUACUACA